CCUACGGGAGGCUGCAGUGGGGAAUAUUGCGCAAUGGGCGAAAGCCUGACGCAGCGACGCCGCGUGAGGGAUGAAGGUCUUCGGAUCGUAAACCUCUGUCAGCAGGGAAGAACAGUCACUGUGCUAAUCAGCAGUGAAUUGACGGUACCUGCAAAGGAAGCACCGGCUAACUCCGUGCCAGCAGCUGCGGUAAUACGGAGGGUGCGAGCGUUAAUCGGAAUUACUGGGCGUAAAGGGCUCGUAGGCGGUAUGUCAAGUCAAUGGUGAAAUCCCCGCGCUCAACGUGGGAACUGCCUUUGAAACUGGCAAACUUGAGUGUGGUAGAGGAUAGUGGAAUUCCAGGUGUAGGAGUGAAAUCCGUAGAUAUCAGGAGGAACACCAGUGGCGAAGGCGACUAUCUGGCACAUAACUGACACUGAGGAGCGAAAGCGUGGAUAGCAAACAGGAUUAGAUACCCUAGUAGUC
rnacentral:rRNA from 1 species